rnacentral:RNase_MRP_RNA from 1 species
CUUGGGGAAAUUCCCCGGACGUAAGGGCAGAGAGUGCCAAAUCGGAAACGAUUUACCGGCGCGGCGCCGCUUUUAUUUUGGCGAAGAUGGUCUUUUUUCCUCUUCAGGGAAAGAGGCAAGAGUCACAUACCACGUAUGAUGAAAGUCGGCUUGCCGUGAAACAGCCGCCGUCUUAGCAAAGUUAUGUUGUCGAAUAGAACUCAACGGGGAUUACA